rnacentral:rRNA from 1 species
AACGAACGCUGGCGGCAUGCCUAACACAUGCCAGUCGAACGAGACCUUCGGGUCUAGUGGCGCACGGGUGCGUAACGCGUGGGAACCUGCCCUUAGGUUCGGAAUAACUCCCCGAAAGGGGUGCUAAUACCGGAUAAUGUCUUCGGACCAAAGAUUUAUCGCCUUUGGAUGGGCCCGCGUUGGAUUAGCUAGUUGGUAGGGUAAAAGCCUACCAAGGCGACGAUCCAUAGCUGGUCUGAGAGGAUGAUCAGCCACACUGGGACUGAGACACGGCCCAGACUCCUACGGGAGGCAGCAGUGGGGAAUAUUGGACAAUGGGCGAAAGCAUGAUCCAGCAAUGCCGCGUGAGUGAUGAAGGCAUUAGGGUUGUAAAGCUCUUUUAACCGGGAUGAUAAUGACAGUACCGGGAGAAUAAGCUCCGGCUAACUCCGUG